AUUGAACGCUGGCGGCAUGCCUUACACAUGCAAGUCGAACGGCAGCACGGGUGCUUGCACCUGGUGGCGAGUGGCGAACGGGUGAGUAAUGCAUCGGAACGUACCCGGAAGGGGGGGAUAACGUAGCGAAAGUUACGCUAAUACCGCAUAUUCUGUGAGCAGGAAAGAGGGGGAUCGCAAGACCUCUCGCUUUCGGAGCGGCCGAUGUCGGAUUAGCUAGUUGGCGGGGUAAGAGCGCACCAAGGCGACGAUCCGUAGCGGGUCUGAGAGGAGGAUCCGCCGCACUGGCACUGAGACACGGCCCAGACUCCUACGGGAGGCAGCAGUGGGGAAUGUUGGACAAUGGGCGCAAGCCUGAUCCAGCCAUGCCGCGUGAGUGAAGAAGGCCUUCGGGUUGUAAAGCUCUUUCGGCUGGGAAGAAAUCGCAUCUCCUAAUACGGGGUGUGGAUGACGGUACCAGCAUAAGAAGCACCGGCUAACUACGUGCCAGCCGCCGCCGUAACAC
rnacentral:rRNA from 1 species